rnacentral:rRNA from 1 species
AACGGACGCUGGCGGCAGGCUUAACACAUGCAAGUCGAGCGCGUAGCAAUACGAGCGGCAGACGGGUGAGUAACGCGUGGGAACGUACCCUUUUCUACGGAAUAACCCAGGGAAACUUGGACUAAUACCGUAUACGCCCUUCGGGGGAAAGAUUUAUCGGAGAAGGAUCGGCCCGCGUUGGAUUAGCUAGUUGGGGGGGUAAAGGCCUACCAAGGCGACGAGCCAUAGCUGGUCUGAGAGGAUGAUCAGCCACAUUGGAACUGAGACACGGCCCAAACUCCUACGGGAGGCAGCAGUGGGGAAUAUUGGACAAUGGGCGCAAGCCUGAUCCAGCCAUGCCGCGUGAGUGAUGAAGGCCUUAGGGUUGUAAAGCUCUUUCACCGGGGAAGAUAAUGACGGUACCCGGAGAAGAAGCCCCGGCUAACUUCGUGCCAGCCGCCGCCGUAACAC